UACCAGCACCCCGAGUGGUCGGGACGUUUAUUGGGCCUAAAGCAUCCGUAGCCGGUUCUACAAGUCUUCCGUUAAAUCCACCUGCUCAACAGAUGGGCUGCGGAAGAUACUAUGGAGCUAGGAGGCGGGAGAGGCAAGCGGUACUCGAUGGGUAGGGGUAAAAUCCGUUGAUCCAUUGAAGACCACCAGUGGCGAAGGCGGCUUGCCAGAACGCGCUCGACGGUGAGGGAUGAAAGCUGGGGGAGCAAACGGG
rnacentral:rRNA from 1 species